UACUGUUGUAAACUUUACCAUGGCGCGC
rnacentral:sRNA from 1 species